rnacentral:rRNA from 1 species
CUACGGGCGCAGCAGUGGGGAAUAUUGGACAAUGGGGGAAACCCUGAUCCAGCAAUGCCGCGUGUGUGAAGAAGGCCUGCGGGUUGUAAAGCACUUUCGGUUGGGAGGACUGCUUCUAGCACUAAUGUUGUUGGAAGUUGACGUUACCUUCAGAAGUAGCACCGGCUAACUCCGUGCCAGCAGCCGCGGUAAUACGGAGGGUGCAAGCGUUAAUCGGAAUUACUGGGCGUAAAGCGCGCGUAGGCGGCUAGAUCAGUCGGGUGUGAAAGCCCCGGGCUUAACCUGGGAACUGCAUCCGAUACUGUCUAGCUUGAGUACAGGAGAGGAGAGUGGAAUUCCACAUGUAGCGGUGAAAUGCGUAGAUAUGUGGAGGAACACCAAUGGCGAAGGCAGCUCUCUGGCCUGAUACUGACGCUGAGGUGCGAAAGCGUGGGGAGCAAACAGGGUUAGAUACCCGUGUAGUC